ACCCCAUAUUGAGGACACUUCCUUAGCAAUUCCUUGUACCUUUUCCAAGCCUCAUACAAAGUUUCAAACUCCAUAUGUCGAAAAAAAGAUAUGUUAUUUUUUAGCUU